GAGUUUGAUCAUGGCUCAGAUUGAACGCUGGCGGCAGGCCUAACACAUGCAAGUCGAGCGGUAGCACAAGAGAGCUUGCUCUCUGGGUGACGAGCGGCGGACGGGUGAGUAAUGUCUGGGAAACUGCCUGAUGGCGGGGGAUAACUAGUGGAAACGGUAGCUAAUACCGCAUAACGUCGCAAGACCAAAGUGGGGGACCUUCGGGCCUCACGCCAUCAGAUGUGCCCAGGUGGGAUUAGCUGGUAGGUGGGGUAACGGCUCACCUAGGCGACGAUCCCUAGCUGGUCUGAGAGGAUGACCAGCCACACUGGAACUGAGACACGGUCCAGACUCCUACGGGAGGCAGCAGUGGGGAAUAUUGCACAAUGGGCGCAAGCCUGAUGCAGCCAUGCCGCGUGUGUGAAGAAGGCCUUCGGGUUGUAAAGCACUUUCAGCGAGGAGGAAGGGUAAUGUGUUAAUAAGACAUUGCA
rnacentral:rRNA from 1 species